rnacentral:rRNA from 1 species
GACGAACGCUGGCGGCGUGCCUAAUACAUGCAAGUCGAGCGAAGUGGAGAGAGCUCGCUCUCAAAGCUUAGCGGCGAACGGGGGAGUAACACGUGGGCAACCUGCCUGACAGACCGGGAUAACUUGGGGAAACUCAAGCUAAUACCGGAUAGGAGCUCGAAUCGCAUGGUUUGAGAUGGAAAGUCGGAACGACGCUGUCAGAUGGGCCCGCGGCGCAUUAGCUAGUUGGUGGGGUAAUGGCCUACCAAGGCGACGAUGCGUAGCCGACCUGAGAGGGUGACCGGCCACACUGGGACUGAGACACGGCCCAGACUCCUACGGGAGGCAGCAGUAGGGAAUCUUCCACAAUGGACGAAAGUCUGAUGGAGCAACGCCGCGUGAGUGAUGAAGGUUUUCGGAUCGUAAAACUCUGUUGUUAGGGAAGAACACCCGGGAGAGGAUCCCGGAUUGACGGUACCUGACGAGAAAGCCCCGGCUAACUUCGUGCCAGCCGCCGCGGUAACAC